UGCAAGACCCUGGAGAUCCAGCAGCCAAAAGCAAUCCACGUAGAAAAACCUAGGAAAGGUGACAACGGCUCUAGUUAGCAGCCUCCUGCAGCAAAGACCGAGGUUGGCCACUGGAGCGCAGCACUGAGCCAAGGACACCGGACCUGUGGGGCGUGGUGGCGGAUUGUGUUGUCUUCCCUAUGGAGAUGGGGGCGCCGCUGCCCCACCUACCUCCCCAGGCAGCAAGCCUUCAUUCCUGCCCCGUGCAGAGAGGAGACUGCUGCCCGACCACCGACCACCGGUCACCGGCCACCGUGCUCAGACCUUGGCCCCUCCAGGAGGAGUGAAACGGGACCUUCUGCUCUGCGUGGCUCUACCUACAAAACAAAUCACUCCGGGAAACAGUUAACUGAUACUUCUGGUUUAUUCCAACAGUGAAGCAACUCUCUCCAUACUCCAUAGACUACCAGCCAGUUCAUCUCUUAAUCCAGGUAUAGUUGUUCAAAAAAAAAAAAAAAAGGAAACAAGACAAACACAACAGCGGCUCCCAACAGGGCUCUUACCAAUCUGCUCUGCCCUGACACUGUCUGCCUGGAGUUAGUGCGUAGGCUAUGCUAACCAGCUUUCUGCCACCAUAACACAUGUCUGAGAUAACAUAUAAAGAGAAAGAUUUAUUUGGACCCACAGCUUUGAAGGUUUCAGUCCCUAAAGUUGGCCAGAUUAGAUUCGGAGUCUCUGACUGAGCAUGUGAAUUAGGGUCCUAUGACCUUCCUUCUCCGUUUUAAUUAACUUGCUAGUUUGCCCGACAGGCAUCAGACGGGCGGCUCAACAACCACUUGCAUGAGCUUGGAAGGGACUCUUUCCUCAGUCCAGCUUUGAAUGACUCAUUUCCAGCUGACACUUGCCAGGAGAGACCCUGAGCUGGAGGCCUGGUUAAGCUGUACUCUUAACUCCCAGACACUGUGAGAUAAUCAGUGUUUGUUACAGCAAGCCACUGAUUGGGGAACAAUUUGCUAGAAUUAAGCAAACACUAGGAUACUCACAUCAGCUAACACGCAUGUGCUGCACGAACACUGUCACGGUGGGUAAAGAAAAUGUUAUCUAUUAUUUCUUCUAACGGAUUCACUGAGAACACCAGCAUGACAAAGUUUUCACAGCAUUGCAUAUUGAAAGAAACAUUAAUUCUGAUCAAUUUUCCGAUUAUAUUUAAUCACAGAUUCUGCUUCAGAGGAAGCACCUGCUGAUAUCUUAUAGAACUACUCUUUGGACAGUUACACAAUGCUGGAACAAGAAAACAUCAUUUGGGAGGCAGAAGUAGGAGAACUCUAAGUUCGAGGCUAGCCUGAGUUAGAAUGAGGUGCAGUCUCCAAAAAGAAGUGCAUUAAAAGAGUAGUGACUACAAAUCUAUCAUCCCUCCUUGGUUGAGAAGCAUCUCUUUUAAAAAUUUAACUUAAUUUAAUUUUUUUAAGAUCAACAUAUUAUUGACUUAUUUAUUUAUAUAUCAAAUGUUGUCCCAUUGUUCUGUUUCCUCUUUAGAAACCCAAUAUCUCCCGCUGCUUCUAUGAGGAUGCUCCCCUACCCACACACCCCACUCCCUCCCACCACCGUCCUCUGACAUUCCCCUACACUGGAGCAUUGAGCCUUGACAGGACCAAGGGCCUCUCCUCCCAUUGAUGCCAGACAAGGCCACACUCUGCUACACAUGUAGCUGGAGUCAUAGAUCCAUCCCUGUGUACCCUUGGGAUGGUGUUUUAAUUCUUUAGGAGCUCUGGGGGGGGGGUCUGGUUGGUUGAUAUUGUUGUUCUUCUUAUGGGGUUGCAAACCCCUUCAGCUCCUUCAGUCCUUUCUCUAAUUCCUCAAUUGGGAAUCCCGUUCUCAGUCCAAUGGUUGGCUGCGAGCAUCUACCUCUGUAUUUGUCAGGGUCUGGCAGAGCCUCCCAGGAGAUGGCUAUAUCAGGCUCUUGUCAGCAUGUA
rnacentral:lncRNA from 1 species